rnacentral:rRNA from 1 species
UACGGAGAGUGCAAACGUUGUUCGGAUUCACUGGGCGUAAAGGGCACGUAGGCGGCUCGGCAAAUCGGUCGUGGAAUCCCGACGCUUACCGUCGGAACGGCGGCCGAAAAUAGCGGGCUCGAGGGCGUGAGGGGUCACUGGAACUCCUGGUGAAGCGGUGAAAUGCGUAGAUAUCAGGAGGAACGCCGGAGGCGAAAGCGAGUGACUGGCGCGUUCCUGACGCUGAGGUGCGAAAGCUAGGGGAGCAAACAGG